UACGAAGGGGGCUAGCGUUGCUCGGAAUCACUGGGCGUAAAGCGCACGUAGGCGGCUUACUAAGUCAGGGGUGAAAUCCUGGAGCUCAACUCCAGAACUGCCUUUGAUACUGGUGAGCUUGAGUCCGGAAGAGGUGAGUGGAACUGCGAGUGUAGAGGUGAAAUUCGUAGAUAUUCGCAAGGACACCAGUGGCGAAGGCGGCUCACUGGUCCGGUACUGACGCUGAGGUGCGAAAGCGUGGGGAGCAAACAGG
rnacentral:rRNA from 1 species